GCCGGCACUAAUGAGGCUAAUACAUUGCUUUUUGGAGAUCAACACAUUCCUACCAUUUUGUGAAUAUCAUGGAAUUUUAUAGUUUUUUUUAUUCUUCUUUUUUUCAUCUGUACUGAUCAAAGCACACCUCUGUCAUAAGACAAAACAUAUAUCAUAUGGUCGCAUUGUGACCCCUGGUGAUCAUAGCGAAGACUGCAUUUCUUGCAUUUCUUUUUUUUUUUUUUUUGCACAACAAAAUGCUGAUUCAAACAACUGGAAAGUACAGACACGCUGCCACGCAUUCUUCAGUUGCGCAAGCUGUCGUUCACACCAAGUAUUCCAGGACAGCACAUGAGCUGAGCUGUGGGGAGGCAACAACAGGAGGAUAUAAAACUUUUUGUGGUGUGCCAUCCAACGUGCCAUUUUUCUUCAUUCACCAGCGGUGCAUUAGCUCUCCUUAUAUGUCAGCUCACGGAGGAGUGAUGGCUGGAGUCAGAACUGCCAACAUGCUGUUCCUGGGUUUCACUCUGCUGCUGUGUCUGCUGUGUCCUGCAAGGUCACAGCUGAAUGCAAAACAAAUGCAAAAGCUGAAAGAAAAUAUUCAGAAACUACAAGAAGAGACAACAAGAAAGAUGGCUGAAAACAAGAUUAACGAUGCUGCUGUUGAUGCAGUCUUGGGUGGUGUUGGUAACAUGAUGGACACUUUAGCUGAAUUGGUCAAGACAUUGGUGCCUGACAUGACACCGAUGCAUGAAUUAAUGGAGGACCUGAAGACGUUCUUAGAGGACAGUGUGACUUACUUGCACAAAGAGUUCAGGCACGAAGCUGCAGCACUGAAAGACAAUGAAAAGAAACUGAAAGCACUGCAGGAGAGGAUAGCAUUUUUGGAACACGGCCACACUGAGCUGUAACGUGUGUACGUAUGUGUGUCUGUGUGUGUGUGUGUGUGUGUGUCUGUGUGUGUGUGUGAAAAAACCUGUGAUCUUUAAUCCAAAAAUAAAUCAUUAAAUACUGUGGCA
rnacentral:lncRNA from 1 species